GUCACUUAUGGGCCAUGGAAUGUUGGACGUGUUCAUUAGAAUCUCUGUUCCUUAGUUUUCAAUAUGUAAAAUGGACAUCUUAGGAGCAGCUACAUUAUAGGAUUAAAUGAGAUCCAGACACUUGGAUUCUGAGGGUUUCCUCAGUAAGUGGACUGAAGAACUGGUAUUUCAACCCAGCUCAGCAUGAAAAACCUUCAGUCCUUCCCACUCCACCAGCCAACAUCACGGUGUUGCAGGAAUAGAAAACAGAAAAGCUUUUUCCCCCCCACUGCAGGGAAGCUGCUUGAAACACAGCUAUAGAUUUGAGUACCAAUUUUGCUCCCUUUGUUUUUUUUUUUUUUAAUGAUUUUAUUUAUUUAUUCAUGAGAGAGGCAGAGAGGUAGAGGGAGAAGCAGGUUCCCUGUGGGGAUCCUGAUGCGGGACUCUAUCCCAGGACUCCGGGAUCACUACCUGAGCCAAAGGCAUAUGCUCAACCACUGAGCCACCCUGCUGCCCCCCUCUUUGUGAGUUUUUGCAGCGAAGGACAUCUGGAGGCUGAUGUGAGGUCACUGGACACCUCACGGAAGGCAGUGGUGGCGAAAGAGGACCGAAUGAUAUUUGUAAGAGGACUUCCUAUGCACCAGAGAUCAACUGAACGAUUGGUUAAAAAAAUAAAAAAAUAAAAAUAGACAAGCAGUUUUUAAAAAAUCAACCGCAGAGUACCAAAAGCACUCCAAAAAUUCAGAGAAGUAGUUCUACUUGAUGAUCUAACAAGACCUUGCCCAGAGGCUCUGUGAGAACACCACCCAGGGAUAAUCUCUGUUUUUUAAGUAUUGAAGAAAAGAUGAGAAACAAACAUGGACAUCAGGAUACCUACAGAGCUAAAUUUGUGGAUUUCUUCUUGAUUUGUUCUCCUCACCGUUCUUCUCUUCUUUCGAAAUUCACUGGACUCCCGUUUAAAAACCUUUCCUCUGAAGCUCAUUGUAUCCUGUUACUUGAGUCUCUGAGUUGCAAAAUAGUUAAAAAUACCAAUUUUGUUAAACACCUUCCUUCUGAAGCUUCACCAGGCUGAAGACAACCUCCUCUGGUAAAAGGGGAAAUGCUCAUGCUACAUUAAUAAUAACUCAACAGAAAGCAAAAGAAAACCAGCAAGUUACCGCUUCCUGUCACUACCAGCUGUUGUGAUACGCUCUUGUGCAUAGAUCUUCCCGAAUCACCUAGUGCUGCUUUUUACUGAUGGGCCAUUCCCUUUGCCCCGGAAAUAACCAGACUUAGUUGAAGCACAUCCAUACACUCCGGACUUGAGCCACUCAUCUAUCUCUACCUUGUCAUACAGUGAUUUAUGUAAGAUAGAGAAGGAGAGAUACUGAUCAUUCCUUGUCAAAGUGUGGACACUAAGGAAGCUUCUUUCAAGAACUAUGAGAAAAAUAUCAAGAUACUAUAAAAAUUUCCCCUUUGCCUGAAGGUUUGUGUGCUGCAUGGCUUUGGUCACAUAGGACAAAGCAAGCCUACAUCUCUGGGUCCGGCUCACCACCAUCCACGUUAUUUAAAGGAAGUGAAGCACAAGUAGCUACUUCCUACUUCACUGUGGUCCCUCCUGAGCCUGGCCCCAGGCAGCAGUGCUCUUUGCUGAGGCUCACUACUUCCUGCUACAAAGGUGAUGACCGAACAGCCCAGAGUUGCCCUGGGUACACAGGAAGGAGUGCAAUAACAAGCAAAGAUUGGACAAGCUCUGACAGGGGUACCAGUGUCUACUUCAUCUGGUUCAUGAGAAUGGGAACAAAUGCAGAGAGGCUCCGAUUCUUUGGCAAACAUUCCUGGUCCUGGUCCAUGCCAAGUAUGAGUGACAGAGAGAGAAUUAAGACAGAAUGCCCAUCUGCAGUCCCCAUGAGAGAUGGUUGGGUGGAACACAUCAAACAAUCUAUGGAAACACAAGAAGACAGGAACUAGGUGUCAACUGAAGAACAGGAGUCCAGAACAUGAGGCCAUAGAGACAUGGGGCUGUGAGUCAAGCCUGGGCAAUGGUAGGACUUUGAAAGUCGUGGAUUCCUGGAACCUCUCUAGGACUUCAGAGGGCCUGAUGGUCACUAAUCUGACUUGUUAACUAACAUCCAGGUGAUUAAUUUAAAGAUGCUACAUGGACAACACUUUGAGAAACCAUGACUUCGAAGCUGGUUCAUCUAAAUAGUUUUCUUUGUUGAAAAUCAUAUAAUAGUGACCCCUGGGCCCCACUUCCUACUGCAAAUUGUUCUUUACACUAGGCUAAAGUCUUAUUUAUAAAAUCA